rnacentral:tRNA from 1 species
GGAGAGGUGGCCGAGCGGUUGAUGGCGGUGGUCUUGAAAACCACUUUACGCGCAAGCGUAACGGGGGUUCGAAUCCCUCCCUCUCCG